GACGAACGCUGGCGGUGUGCUUAACACAUGCAAGUGGUGCGACGAACCAGAGCUUGCUCUGGGGCAAAGCCGCGAACGGGUGAGUAACACGUGGGUAAUCUACCCCGAUGACCGGGACAACCCGAGGAAACUCGGGCUAAUACCGGAUGUGGUACGGAGACAUAAGUCUCUUUACUAAAGGUAGCUUCGGCUUCCGCAUUGGGAGGGGCCCGCGGCCCAUUAGCUAGUUGGUGGGGGUCAAGGCCUACCAAGGCAACGAUGGGUAGCUGGUCUGAGAGGACGAUCAGCCACACUGGGACUGAGACACGGCCCAGACUCCUACGGGAGGCAGCAGUGGGGAAUUUUGGGACAAUGGGCGCAAGCCUGAUCCAGCCAUGCCGCGUGCGGGAAGAAGGCCUUCGGGUUGUAACGCUUUGUCUAGGAGAAACGACUCCGGGCGUAAUACCUC
rnacentral:rRNA from 1 species